GAAUUAAGCUGAAGUUUACGUAUAUUUACACAUUUUCUCUUAGUACUCGUUGGAAUUCGCAGGCGCACUAGGUAAAGUUUCACAGAGUACAUCACAGUUUGUCAUUAAUACUCUUUUGGGUACCUCUAAAAUUCCCGUUUGCAUACUACACGCCACGGUACUCGUAAACGGUUUACCACGUCCGAGACGGUGUGGCCAGCGCCAGCUGCUAUUCGGCCGGUCUAUUAACUGCGCAAAUCGCCCAAUGACAGAAAGCAACGAAAAUAAAAAGCAAGUACGGAAAACAUUGGCAGGCUCGCAGGCAAUGAUGCUGACUUUUGGUAUUGGAAAGAUUCCGAUUCAUUUCUACAAACGAAUGAUUUCUUGUGUCACAUUUGUUAUUUCCCAUCUGUAUUUCUCUUUGUGUAGAAGAAUUGCAAAGUUACAUUAAAGAAAGUGGAGGGGAAAUUGUUACAGGGAGAGUUUUGCAGCAUGUUAUGACAACAUUGUCUCCAACAGACUUUAAUAUAACAGUAAACGAUCCCGAUCAUGAUUUUUUUCGUGGUAACACUGUCUCUUUGUGUGAUACUGCAGUCGAAGUCCUCGCGUUCCUGAGGCUCUGAAAGUGAAAGCGUCGCUCCUGCAGUACUGCUGAUGUCGGUCAAGUUGAAUUCAACAUGGUGAAACCUAAUGAAAAGGGAAAGAACGCAUUGCAUUUACGAGAGAUAGAAACAGUUGUUACGAAAAGCCGGUUGUUGGAAGGAACGAGAAGCAAUUCUUUCCAACUUGUUCCAGAUGUUUUGUCUUUGAAGUCGUCAUCCCUAACUGAACGCGAAGAGGAACUUUCAAGGGGUUUUCUUAAGUAUAAAAAAGGUAAAUCAUUCUUAAAUGAUGCCCACCUGCAAGUCUAAUGAGAAAUGUUGUGUGUUGUUAUUCUUCUCACGUUAUUCUUCUCACUGAAUAACCAAGUCCUGAAUAAAACACGAGACUGCUA
rnacentral:lncRNA from 1 species